AGAGUUUGAUCCUGGCUCAGGAUGAACGCUAGCGGCAGGCUUAACACAUGCAAGUCGAGGGGUAACGAUGGCUUCGGCCAGGCGACGACCGGCGCACGGGUGCGUAACGCGUAUGCAAUCUACCUUUAACUGAAGCAUAGCCCGAAGAAAUUCGGAUUAAUACUUCAUAAUAUCCUAAUUUCGCAUGUUUUUAGGAUUAAAGCUCCGGCGGUUAAAGAUGAGCAUGCGUGCCAUUAGUUAGUUGGUGAGGUAAUGGCUCACCAAGGCUGCGAUGGCUAGGGGGUCUGAGAGGAUGAUCCCCCACACUGGUACUGAGACACGGACCAGACUCCUACGGGAGGCAGCAGUGAGGAAUAUUGGUCAAUGGGCGCAAGCCUGAACCAGCCAUGCCGCGUGCAGGAUGAAUGCCCUACGGGUUGUAAACUGCUUUUCUACAGGAAGAACUUUCGAACGUGUUCGGAACUGACGGUACUGUAGGAAUAAGCAUCGGCUAACUCCGUGCCAGCAGCCACGGUAAUACGGAGGAUGCAAGCGUUAUCCGGAUUUAUUGGGUUUAAAGGGUGCGUAGGCGGAAUAAUAAGUCAGUGGUGAAAUCCUGCGGCUCAACCGUAGAACUGCCAUUGAUACUGUUAUUCUUGAGUACAGUUGAGGUGGGCGGAAUGUGUAAUGUAGCGGUGAAAUGCUUAGAUAUUACACAGAACGCCAAUUGCGAAGGCAGCUCACUAAGCUGUUACUGACGCUGAGGCACGAAAGCGUGGGAGCGAACAGGAUUAGAUACCCUGGUAGUCCACGCUGUAAACGAUGAUCACUCGUUGUUGGCGAUACACUGUCAGCGACUGAGCUAAAGCAUUAAGUGAUCCACCUGGGGAGUACGGUCGCAAGAUUGAAACUCAAAGGAAUUGACGGGGGCCCGCACAAGCGGAGGAACAUGUGGUUUAAUUCGAUGAUACGCGAGGAACCUUACCUGGGCUUAAAUGCAGGACGACAGACCGGGAAACCGGUCCUUCUUCGGACGGCUUGCAAGGUGCUGCAUAGUUGUCGUCAGCUCGUGCCGUGAGGUGUCGGGUUAAGUCCCAUAACGAGCGCAACCCCUAUUGUUAGUUACCAGCGGAUAAUGCCGGGGACUCUAACGAAACUGCCGGUGUAAACCGAGAGGAAGGUGGGGAUGACGUCAAAUCAGCACGGCCCUUAUGUCCAGGGCUACACACGUGUUACAAU
rnacentral:rRNA from 1 species